AAAGUGGCGACUCCUCACUUUUCCACUUCAGUGAAAAUCGUCUAGCGACUGUAAAACCCUUGCGACAAUUAUGAUUUCAUUAAUUAAUUAAUUGACCUCUCCUAUAGUUAUAUUUUCUUUAUAUUCAGUUUACAAAUUUUCUCAUCAUUUAAGUAUAAAAAAAAUUCCUUUUUUUAUAUGUACUUGUAAACUUCUCUUAUAUAAAUAUAAUUUCAAUUUAAAUUAGGAUUUAUAAAUUUAAAUUUUUUUUAUUAAUUUCUCUUUUAUAAUAUGAUAUUACCAUAUUUUCAUUGACAAUUAUAUAUUAUGUGAGCG
rnacentral:misc_RNA from 1 species